AAAGGGUGCGUAGGCGGGUAGGUAAGUCAGUGGUGAAAUCCUGGAGCUCAACUCCAGAACUGCCAUUGAUACUAUCUAUCUUGAAUAUUGUGGAGGUAAGCGGAAUAUGUCAUGUAGCGGUGAAAUGCUUAGAUAUGACAUAGAACACCCAUUGCGAAGGCAGCUUACUACGCAUAUAUUGACGCUGAGGCACGAAAGCGUGGGGAUCAAACAGGAUUAGAUACCCGGGU
rnacentral:rRNA from 1 species